GGAACUUCUUUAUUCUUAUUCUAUUUAAAAUGUGUAAUUAUAAGUUUUACUGGUUUAUGUGAAAAGAUCCACCAUCACUGAGAGUAAAGUUUAACUGCAUCAAUUUUGAAGAAAAUAAUGUAAAUGUUUACAGAUUCUUCAUCAGAACAACCUGUAGCUGUGUUUUAUGAUAUUUUAAAAAUACCAAAAGUAAACACAGAGGUGGGUUUUAUUUACCAGGAAAUAUCGGUAGUAAGAAACAAGAUCUCAUUCAAAGGCAUGGGACAUUGUUUACAUGCAUGUAAUUUUUAAAAGAAAUGAACUGAAGAUAUUUGAUUGAAUAGAUAUAUAUUUACAAAUUUAGAGAUAUAUACUCUGCAAGACAAACUUAUCAGACAUUUUACAAGGCAAGGCCCUGAUCAAGAGAGGGAGAGUGCAAUAUAUACCUUUGUGUAAAGAAUCACCAUCGUACAUUCUGUUGUCAAGUUUGGCAUAUAUUGUGUUAAUUUUUAGUCAAUUGUUCUUGGGUGACUGGGAUCAUCUACCUGCAAUGUUUUAAUUGUAAAUGUAGGAAAUUGUGAGACAUGUUGUGACAUUUACAGAAGACGGCUGUACGGUUGUACAGUAUGUCUCUCAAUCCAUGCUUUAUUUUGAAGUACAAUCUUGUGUAUGAAUGAAGCCACUGUCAGCUUAAAUGAAUGGUUUUGUAUAUACAUGUACGUCAUGCAUGUAAAUUUACUUUUUCUUUUACAAGUGCACAUUAAAAGGAAAAAUAAGAUAGCACACUACACAGUUUAAUUAUUUAGUGCCAAACUUUCAGUUUUCACGAUUCUCAUGGUUUUUCCAGUGUGAACUUUACUGGUCUUGUAUUCUGUAUAUUGAUUUAAUGGCAUGGUUAUUGGUGGAAUAUAAAUGGAAUGUAAAUGUAAUUGCUAAGAAAUAAUGUUUCCAUUGUAAGAAAUUUCAAGUUGAUAUUAAAAGCCACCAGAAAAAUUAAAUCAAGUUUACAAUUACUCAUUAUGAUUUUGCAGCCAAACUCGUUGUCAUAAGAUAUAAUAAAAUGAAGUCAAAGACAU
rnacentral:misc_RNA from 1 species